rnacentral:rRNA from 1 species
UACGUAGGUGGCAAGCGUUGUCCGGAUUUAUUGGGUUUAAAGGGUGCGUAGGCGGCCCUGUAAGUCAGUGCUGAAAUAUCCCAGCUUAACUGGGAGGGUGGCAUUGAUACUGCGGGGCUAGAGUACAGAUGAGGUAGGCGGAAUUGACGGUGUAGCGGUGAAAUGCUUAGAUAUCGUCAAGAACACCUAUAGCGAAGGCAGCUUACUAGGCUGUAACUGACGCUGAGGCACGAAAGUGUGGGGAUCAAACAGGAUUAGAAACCCCUGUAGUCC